AGAAAUGUUACUACACAUAUUUAUUUUCUAGUGAAUUGUUUUGUUUUUUGUUUAUUUUUAUUUUUUAAUGGAAUCUCCCACCUUAAUGUGAGACUGCGAGAGCACCUGAUAGUCACAAUCCUACACACCUGUGUUCCAUUGCUCAGAUCCAGGAGGACUGCAAUCUGCAUUUUCUCUGACAAAGCUCCUCAAAAGGCAUGCUGACUCUUCACCUGCAUCUGACAUUUUGACAGUUUCCUUCUAUACAAUGGUAAAACCAGAGACAUUCCACCAAAAUCUGAUGGGAAGCCCAGAAUGAUGGACAUUAUUUUACUACAAAGGU